rnacentral:tRNA from 1 species
GGGCGCUUAGCUCAGUUGGAAUGAGCGCUACCUUGACACGGUAGAGGUCAUCGGUUCGAUCCCGGUAGCGCCCA